UUCCUGCUGCCUGUCACCCUGCUAACCGUCCCCACUCCUGGGCGCAUCACAAACAGAGGGCAUUGCGCGGGGAAGGAAGGAAGCCUGAAGACGAGGGACUGGUUUCCGCUCUUCCUUGUGCUUGGCUGUGCAGAGAGACUGGCCCAAAACCUAAGCCAGCGUUUGUGACAGCAUGAACGAGUCACGCUGAUAAAUCUCAGAAACCUAUGUUGGAAAUGAAGACUGAAAAGAAAAUGCUGUCCGGAUGGGGAGGCACAGUCUCUCUUCGGCCGCAGAGGGAGCUGCUGCAUCGAGUCUCACCAUUUGCCCUCCAACGCAGCCGUUCCUCCUUGCCCCGAG
rnacentral:lncRNA from 1 species